GUCCAGAUGACAAGUUCAAACAGGACGAAAUGCUCAUCCUGGAU
rnacentral:hammerhead_ribozyme from 1 species